AGAGAAGAGUAAGCGCACAUUUCCCCCAUAAAUUACUUCAGCGGAUUACACAUUAGAGGCACGUUUCUUUAGCGGCGAAAGGAACGAAGAUCUGCCCAUUUUGACUAGGAUUUAUUCUCGCAGCAACCACUCUGUACUACUCUAAUUUAGUACAUCAAACAAGAAAACAUGCGUAGAAUGUUCUUGGAAGCACUACUGCUUACUUGUCUUUUGAAACUCGGAUAUGGCCAGAAAAACAGUAACUACGAGAUGAAGGUCGCCGUUCGAGUAGGAGUGAGUGGGAGAAAGUGCCUUUACGGCGGCCACAAUUUCUCAGCAUUGCUUUUCCUAAAUGAAAAUUGCCAGAUGUUAUCCUGCUACUGGCACAGAAAGGAAGUUCAGAUAUCACAAUGCAAAGCUCUACCGCCGGGUUGCCGGAGAACAAAAAAGGCGAUGAAUCAAACAUUCCCGCUGUGCUGCAAGAAGACCUGCAAACCGAAAAAGCAGCACUGUCUUACGAGAGACGGCGAGUUGGUGAGAGACGGACAACGCCUGAACUUGUCUGAGCCCUGCGUUAGCUACAGCUGCCAUAGAGGACGAAUUACGACCGAACGGUGCUUGGGAGCUGACGAUCCAACAUGCAAGCGAUCCUUUGUCGAACCAGGCCCUUUUCCAAAAUGUUGCGGCGCAGCGGUCAUGUGUUCAGGACACGGUCGUCGAAAAAGGUGACACAGAAAAAAGGAGAGCGAAUGAAGUUUUUAGCCACCAUGACAAGGUGUUUAGAAAUGCGCGCAAGGCGUCAUAAAUCAGCUUUGCCUUAAAUAAAUUAACAA